GACCAACCCUUAAAGACUGCUGCAUCUUUAGGAUAUUCUAGUCCAACAUCGAGGUCACAAACUCUCUUUUCGAUAAGGACUCUCAAAGAGAAUUAUGCUGUUAUCCCUAUGGUAACUAAUUCCAUUGAUCAAAAUUUCUGGAUCAACACUUGUAAGUCUUAUUAAUUAAUAAAGAAGCUUUAUUUGUUCCAUAGUCGCCCCAACCAAAAUCUAAAAUAGAUUAAUAUUUAAAAUUAUAUAUUAUUUUCAAUUUAUUUUUUUAAAGCUCAAUAGGGUCUUCUUGUCUUUCAAUUAAAUCUAGGUUUCCUCACCUAGAAAUCAAGUUCUAAAAAAUUACAUAGAGACAGCUUUGUUCACGUCAAACCAUUCAUACUAGCCCUCAAUUAUAGGGCAAAUGAUUAUGCUACCUUUGCACGGUCAGAGUACCGCGGCCGUUAAAAUAUAUUCACUGGGCAGGUCCGACUC
rnacentral:rRNA from 1 species